rnacentral:rRNA from 1 species
CAAAUGAAUUGACGGGGCCCGCACAAGCGGUGGAGCAUGUGGUUAAUUCGAAGCAACGCGAAGAACCUUACCAGGCCUUGACAUGCAGAGGACUUUCCAGAGAUGGAUUGGUGCCUUCGGGAACUCUGACACGAGGUGCUGCAUGGCUGUCGUCAGCUCGUGUCGUGAGAUUGUUGGGUUAACGUCCCGUAACGAGCGCAACCCUUGUCCUUAGUUACCAGCACGUUAAGGUGGGCACUCUAAGGAGACUGGCCGGUGACAAACCGGAGGAAGGUGGGGAUGACGUCAAGUCAUCAUGGCCCUUACGGCCUGGGCUACACACGUGCUACAAUGGUCGGUAAAAAAACAAGGGUUGCCAAGCCGCGGAGGGGGAGCCAAUCCCAUAAAGCCAUUCGUAGUCCGGAUCGCAGUCUGCAACUCGACUGCGUGAAGUCGGAAUCGCUAGUAAUCGUGGAUCAGAAUGUCACGGUGAAUGCGUUCCCGGGUCUU